rfam:Botryotinia fuckeliana BcDW1 unplaced genomic scaffold Scaffold_422, whole genome shotgun sequence.
GGGGCUGUAACUCAGUGGUAGAGUGCCUCGUUUGCAUUGUCAGUUGUGUCUUAACAGAUGUAUCAGAUAAAUCUCGAUGAAGUCCAGGGUUCGACUCCCUGCCGCUCCA